AGCUGCAGACAGACUGAAGCACUUGAGUCCAGGUCCCAUCUUGUUUAUUCAACUAUAUCUCUGCACGAAGUUGGGUUUUGCUCGUACCAGUUUGACUGGAGGUGACUUCAUUUUCAACUGGAGUGGUUUAUUGCACAAUUAAAUUUUCUCAGCUACUUCACUGGCAAGGAUUCUUCUUCAAAGAAGGCAAAUAGGUGUACUUGCUUCUUAAAAGGUGGUUUUGGAAAGCAAAAAAGCUGGAGUGAUGGCAAAGAAUUAUUAAAAAGGCUUGAUCUCUACUUGAUGUACUCUCUGCUCUCAAAAAUCAGUGUUGGUAGAGGCAGCUCAACAAGAUUGUCCAGCACUGAACAUUAAGAGUAAGAAUAAGCUGUCGACAACAGGCAGUUUUCCAUUUCAGACUAACGUGAAAUGAUCUUACCCUGUAUACUUCAGUGCACAUAGAAGGCAGAGACGAAUUCUAUGGAUGCUGGUAACUGCAAGAGAGAAGAUCAAGUCAAAAGAAAGAUGACAAGCAGCAAUGGCAGAGGUUGAAAGUAAACCUUACUGAAAAGGCAGCAGGAGGCAGAUGAGUGCAAGGACAAAGGAAGACGGCAGGCAAAACCACACAGCUUUUCAGAGCAAGAUCUACUCGUGUGAACAGCUUUCCUCACAAGAGAGUGGAGAAAUAAUGUCGUGGUAUGCAUCAAAAUCAGUUGUUACUGCAGCCCAAGGUGUGUGAUUCUGAUUUGACCAGUCAGUGCUGCUGUGCCAAGCGGUGCCGGUAACCGGUUACAACAAGGGGAAAAGAAACCGAGCUGCAUCAGUGAAGAAAAUGGGUACUGAGAUACAAAAAGGGAAAAAAAACUCACGUGGUGUUAUGUGAUUACACAGUAGAGGAAUUGAGCCUGGAAUAUGUUUCAGAAACCUAUUUCUACCUACAUAUGGGUAUUUUAAAGUAAAUAAAAUAUUGUGAAGGCCUUUCUUCUGUUUUGUUGGUGUACUAUUGCUUCCUUUAGUUUUUGUACGUGACAUCUUGGCGAUGUGUCGUUUCAGCGGUUAACUGAUAAAUGCCACCCCCACAGGAUUGUUUCCUGCUCCACCUGCUGGUCUGAAUCUCACCAUUUCCAUCGAGCUCUGGAGUUGGCUCUGUAUUUGGUUCGGGCUAAAUUCUUCUUAUUUUUAGCCUUGAAAAUUCAGGUAAUGGCUAAAUGCACUUUAUUUAAUCAGGCUUUUCAGUAUUUCUAUUAAAGCGGUAGAUAUUUUACAGAUAUUUAGCAAUUUUCAUCCUGAAGAGUCGAAAUAUUUUAUAAGUGCACCCUGCGUGCCGGGGCCUGCGGGGAGACGGGCGCCACCGGGUGGAUUGCUGAGGUACAGCCGCGAUUCGCCUCCGAGCGUGACCCGAGUCUUGCGCUGAACUACAGAAUCACAGAAUGUUCUGAGUCGGAAGCGAUCCGCAAGGAUCAUCAAGCCCUUACGCACUUGCGUCUCAAUAAUCUUUACAUUGGUCUCCUGUACCUAAGGAUUAGAAUUCGGCCUUUAAAUACAUGGUGGCCUUUUGCUGAGACCACUGUCCAUCCAAUGGAGAAAUACGCUUUCAUUGUCUCCUGUGCUGUUUACUCACUACUUUGCCUGAUCUUGGGGUUUAAGACCAUCUUUGAUUUUCCUUCUAUAUUAGAGCAGCUGUUAUCUCAAACAUAUCCAACGGGUCGUUAUAGUUCAUGUGGGCUUCAUGCUACGUAUAAUAUGAAAGAAAGUAUUACGAAGGCAUUGUCUAAAACAUGAUGGAUCACGUAGGAAGCAUCAAUAAUGCAAGAGAAAUAUGUUCAACAAAAACCUAUAUGUCUUAGAAAAGAAAAUAUAAUAGAUCAGGAAAAGAAAAAGGUGACUUCAAACAAUUUUUCUAUCUGGAUUUUGGAUGAGGCCUUCAUUUAUGCUCAUUAACAUUCCAAAGAGAACCUUAAUUUUUUAAAAAUGUCUUGGAUGUGAAAAUCUAUAUGUAAAAGUUAUCUUUUCAUCCAGAAGAACAGUCCAUUUCUGUGAAAACAAACUAAUUUUCCAUGUGUGAAUGUGUCUGAUUAUUAGUAGUAAAGGCAAUGAUGUGUUAAAAGAAAUAAUCCUAUUUCCUGGUUUCAUGAAUAUUGAAUUAUUUUUAACCUUUUUGUACGUAACAGCUUGCAAUAACAGACCCACCCUCCUUAUUUUCUCAUAUAUACAGCCUAGCCAAUAGAGUAAAGUAAGGACAUUUCAUAAAAGAUAGGGAGUUUUCCUAGAAGGAGACUGAACU